CCCAUUUUAGACCGCAUAUGUAGAAAUACACAAGACUCUUGUCUUUUGUUUGAUGAAUUAUAAGAAGGCUGUGUUCUGAAGAGAGCAUAUCUUCUACAUGGAGAGAGAGCCUUUGAAACUAGAGAGAUCAGUUAAAGUUAGAGAGAGAGAGAGAGAGAGCAAGAGGGUUAGACCAAGAGAUCUCUCCCAUGACAUAAGCGUGAAAACUUGGAGGACCUUUGGUGCAGCGAGCGUAGGCGAGUACCUACUGUGUGUGAGGAGUUUCAUGGAGGGGCAACAAUGGAGGUUGAAAUAAACAUUGCAAGAAACUACAAACUUACAGUGUGAAGGAUGCAAAAAAUCCUUUAGAUCUACUGUUUUAGAGAAAGACUUAAGGUGAACUUUUGUUCUUAGCGCAGCGUUCUAGGGUCUUGGAUUGGACAUCAUCGCCUGUUGCCAAUUGGCCGGUUGCGGUUGUUAUCGUUGAUUUUGAUGAAGAUGAGGUUGUCUACACCAAUCUCAUUUAUGAUGUGGCUUCUGGAGCCAUAAUUGUGGCGGAUAACCCUGAGUUUGUUGCGGUCCCUCUAGCUUUCGUUGAACUGAACGUACCACCACCUUUGGUGGAUACUAUUGGUGAGCUUUUGGCUGAUGAUGCUAUCCCAACGGAAAUGGUUGUGGAACACCUUGUAGAAGGUUCAGAUUCAUCGUCCUUUAUCUCUUCAGACUCGGCUCCUGAAUUUAAGUCAAGUGCUAGGACUGAUUCCAAGCUUAGCCACGUGACUGAGCAUCAUUCAAAGACUCUACCAAGCAACCCCAGGCAUGUAAUUUUCAACCGUAUGUUCAAGGACAUGGGCGUUACUUUUGUUGCUCCUCCAGAGGUGGUGCUUGCAGCAUGGAUGCAGCGGUUAAGAUGGUUUAAGAAAUGUCGAAAAAUUUGAAGAAUGAGACUCAGACAGACCUAGCCAAGCGCCCUAUGCACCAUUUUUUUGGUCUGCAGAAUGACCUGGAGGUCUUCUCACCUGCUUUUAAGUUGCUUUUGAACCCUAUUUAAAGGCGAACUCUAAAGCUGUACGCUCAUCGGCUAGAUUGGCUGCUCGUGGCUCUUGGGGCUCUUCAGCUCCUCCUUCAAAUGGAGUGGUUUUCAGGACAAGCCAUACGACUUCAAAGAACGGGUCCUCCUCUAGUUGCAGCGACAACACUUGCUCGUCUAGCUCUUUUCGUCCCUAUGAAGAUGGUGGCUUCGUGGGACCCGGUGAACUUUCAUCCCGCCCAUAAAGAUUAUCAGUUGGUACGUGCGUGGUCUCUGUGCUGAUCGAUGCAAGAAGGAGGUCAAUUUCUUGAUUUCUAAUUUUAAACCUUUUGCUUUUAGGAUGCAAAAAACUAAGUGUGCUUCGCCCUCUCUUUUGGAUGUCAAGACUUUGUGGGGUAAUGGUUCUGUGUGCUUUGAGGGUGUGAAUGCCAUUGGAUUUUUUGGAGGUCUGUGGGUUCUUUGGGACCCAAUAGCUUUGCUUUGCCUAGAUGUUUUUAAAUCUGGCAAGUUCUUGGCUAUUGCUUUUGAAGGUCCUGUCAGGGGUUUCCGUUGGGUACUUAUUAAUGUGUAUGGGCUUAAUAUUGCUACCCUUACAUGUGUCUUUUAGGAUGAUCUGAAAUCUGUUAUUUCCUCUUCGGGACUUCCUGUUUGCAUUGGAGGGGAUUUUAAACUUAUUCGACACCCAAAUGAAAUUUCCACUUUUUCUCGAUUUAA